ACAAUAUACGUAAUUAGUGUUUUGACACAAUCGUUCAGUAAACGUGUCAAAACGCUUUUAUCACCAAUCGCCUGAAUCUGUUGAUAUGAUCCGCUGCGAGCCAUGUAAUCUGCAACGCAAUGCAAAUAAUUUUGCAAGUAUAAAUUGCAGAUACAAGUAAAAUGUUGGUUAGUUGGUUAAAAUAGUCCUAAAAUGCUACCUUUGGUGGUAUUGAUUGUCUUCUCAUUUUUAUCAAAAAAUUCAGCAGAGCAGUGGCCGAUAAAUGAUUACAAUUUUGACACUGAUUCUGCCGAGGUGGCAGAUAUAAAUUAUUUAAAUAACAUAAAUAAUUAUGAUAAUAAUAAUUAUGACGAUUAUGAUGUUUGGGAUCAAAUCGAACAUGAUAUACAGCUUUUAGAGGAUACUGAUGAUUCUCUAAAAACUCGUGGAAUACCAACUGGACACACAAGGAGAAAUAAGUUAGGAUGCGUAGAAAAAUGGACAGUACACGAUGUUCCAAAAAUGUCAGAAGAUGAGGAGAUAUAUCCAAAGAGGUACCACAAUAUAACUUGUAAACCCGCCACUGGAUCACACCAGGAGUCAGUCAUGAUGGGUUUUUGUACAGUGGUGUAUAAUCCAACGUGUGAAACAGCCUAUCGUCAAGUUCCUAUUUUUACAAAAAAACAUAACUGUUGGAAACAUACUCGCACCAUUCCAGUGGAACAGGGAUGCAAGUGUCGUCAUCAGUAAACAUCUAAAUGUACAAUAAAGGACUGGAUUUUUCAUAAAUUAUUUUUAACACAUUUUUAUUUGUAUAAGCAAAUAAACUUUACUGCUGAACAAA